rnacentral:rRNA from 1 species
GUGUCAGCCGCCGCGGUAAUACGUGAGGGGCGAACGUUGUUCGGUGUCACUGGGCUUAAAGGGCGCGUAGGUGGCUGCGUAAGUAAGGUGUGAAAGCCCUCGGCUUACCCGGGGAAUUGCGCCUUAUACUGCGUGGCUUGAGGAUCUCAGGGGAAGGGGGAACUCCAGGUGUAGCGGUGAAAUGCGCAGAUAUCUGGGGGAAGGCCGGCGGCGAAGGCGCCCUUCUGGGAGAUUCCUGACACUGAGGCGCGAAAGCGUGGGGAGCAAACAGGAUUAGAUACCCUGGUAGUCC